rnacentral:rRNA from 1 species
AUUGAACGCUGGCGGCAUGCCUUACACAUGCAAGUCGAACGGCAGCACGGGUGCUUGCACCUGGUGGCGAGUGGCGAACGGGUGAGUAAUAUAUCGGAACGUACCUUAUUGUGGGGGAUAACGCAGCGAAAGCUGUGCUAAUACCGCAUAAUCCCUAAGGGGGAAAGCGGGGGACCGUAAGGCCUCGCGCAAUUAGAGCGGCCGAUACCUGAUUAGCUAGUUGGUGAGGUAAAGGCUCACCAAGGCAACGAUCAGUAGCCGGUCUGAGAGGACGAUCAGCCACACUGGGACUGAGACACGGCCCAGAAUCCUACGGGAGGCAGCAGUGGGGAAUUUUGGACAAUGGGGGCAACCCUGAUCCAGCAAUGCCGCGUGAGUGAAGAAGGCCUUCGGGUUGUAAAGCUCUUUUGUCAGGGAAGAAACAGCAGCUCUAACACAGUUUGCGAAUGACGGUACCUGAAGAAUAAGCACCGGCUAACUACGUGCCAGCAGCCGCAGUAA